rnacentral:rRNA from 1 species
CUACGGGUGGCUCCAGUAAAGAAUCCUCCACAAUGGGCGAAAGCCUGAUGGAGCGACACCGCGUGCAGGAUGAAGGCCCUAGGGUCGUAAACUGCUUUUCUGGGGGAAUAAUUUUGAAGGUACCCUAGGAAUAAGCACCGGCUAACUCCGUGCCAGCAGCCGCGGUAAUACGGAGGGUGCAAACGUUACCCGGAAUCAUUGGGCGUAAAGCGUCCGCAGGCUGUACCGUAAGUCAGAUAUUAAAUCCCAAGGCUCAACUUUGGGGCUGUGUUUGAAACUACGGUGCUAGAGUCUUGGAGAGGUGAGUGGAAUUCUACAUGUAGGGGUAAAAUCCGUAGAUAUGUAGAGGAACACCAAAAGCGAAGGCAGCUCACUGGCCAAGUACUGACGCUCAUGGACGAAAGCGUGGGGAGCAAACGGGAUUAGAUACCCUUGUAGUC